UGCCUGUAAAAUGGGAUUGGAUCAUUUUGCCUUUGAUUCGAAUCAACGUAGCAUGUAUAAGCACAUAAACAGUUAUAUCAUACAAGCAUGUUGUAAUAAAUAUGCAUCCUAAUUUGGUGACCCUUUUGAGCCAAGGGUUGUCCUAACAUAUUUGAAGGACGUAUAUGCUUUUUAAAACCAAUCCAUUAUCCUCCCAAAGACCUUCAUAGGUGUACAUAAAUGGCAUAAAUGCCUACAAAAGUUGUACAAAUGGGAUACAAUCUUUAGGGAAAGGAAAAAUAACAUGAGAAAAAGAACAAUAUCCCACGCAAGGGAUAGGAAAUACUAGUUCCUGAAUACUCUUAUAUCGGCCUUCUUAGCUUUGUCCACUUUGGUAACAUCCAUUGAUGAUCAAGAUAUUGCCGUAUAACUGUGCUCUAUAUGCAACCGUCCAAAUCGAUCGAUUUCUUGCUUGGCUUGCUUCAAUUCCUUCCUCAAUUGGUGUAUGAUUGAGGCAUCAUUACACGAAAGUAAGCAAGCUUUUUCCCGACCCCUAAAGGAUAAUGGAUUUGAUUAAUUAAACAUAUAUUUCUUCAACACAUAAAUAUGAUUCUUCUGUAAUUGAAUCGGAGUCAAUAGACGCAAGAAAAGUUUUCUAAUGAGCCCAAUACCCCCUUGGGUACUGGGUCGUCCUAGGCUCAUGCCUUAAAUAGGGUUUUGGUUUAGCUCUAUCCUAGCUGUCUAGAGUGGGUUUAAACCAGGUUCCCAAGUGGACAACUUGGGUUUGGAAAUACGAACAGCCGUCAGACGACUCACAUGCUAAUAAACCAUCGUGUUUCCAACACAUUAUUUGGAAUUGAACAAUAGGGGCCGAGAUAUCCACGAAAUGCCAAAACAGUUUAUAAAUAAAUGUAAGAAUAUACUAUGAGAUGCAAUAAUUAAAUACCGCAAAAUCAAAACAUAUAAACAGUAAAUCAAAAGACGAAAUCAAACAUUUGAUUAGAACCAAGUUAAAUCCCCAGCAGAGUCGUCAUUUCCAUUUUACGAAAAUUUUGACUUUCAGAGAGUCGCCACUUAAUUUUGAAAAGAAAUUAAGAAAGCUUUAUAAAAUAUUUUAAACUAUCCAAAACUGAAAGAUCAAUUAAGUUUUGAAGAUUUUAAGUAAGUGGCUCCUAUUAACGUUUUAGGAAGGUUUUAAGCACCUAAAACGUCCGCUAACUUGCGGUUAUUCAGACUGUUUGAAAACAUCUUUUGAUUAACUUCUAAAAUGAUUAAUUUGUUGAAAAGUGAUUGAUUUUUUUUUUUAGAAAAGACUUGUGUAAAAUGGAUUUAGGCGACUUAGUAGGGAUUUUAACUAAGUCUAAACAAAACUAAUAAGCAAGUAAACACAUAAAGGGGGGAGAGAGGCGAAAGUAAAGGAUUUAGGCCAUUGGGCCCAAAUCAAUGAGACCUGUCCUAGUCUAAUUGGGCUUCCAACCCAUUUCACCUGUCCUAAUCUAAUUUUGAAGCCUUUUGGCCCAAAAUUCGCCUCACCUGUAUUAAAUUUAUAACAUUGGCUUCGAGGCCCAAAUGAAUGAAUGAAUAAAUAAAUAAACAAAAUAAAUAAAGACAACAAUACUCAAAUAAAUAAAACAACAAAUGAGACUUUUGAGUCUCUUAGCCGCUUCAAAUGUGUGUCUUUAACCCGCCUUUCUUCUUCCAACUCUCGUGUUUAUACGCCAUGGGAUCACUUUUAGACAUAGAACUCCGGGCUUGACUCAAUGAGAUAGGCCUCACUGGCCCAUUAAGGAAUGCAAGGGAAAAGGGUUCAUUUGGACUCCAGGGCGGAUUCAUGCGAAGAAAAAAAAAUAUAUGAAUUAAUAUAUGUUCAUGGAAACAAACUAUUCUGGCAACAAAGGAAAUUACGAAAGUUCAAAGCUUUAAAAAAUCACAACCCCAAACCCAAGCACAAAAAUAAAACUUAGGUGCAUGCUCACUGAACAAAUAAUUGUAUCUACUAAUUUUGAAUUUUUAACAUAAAAAUCGAAGAGAGCACGACAUAUUACACCCUAGUAACUUUACAUGGAAGCAUGAAUAUGCAUGAAAGGAUUCCAGUAAAAAAGGGGGCACUCUUCCUAACCUAAUGUGAUAAUUAUUUAAAUGAGAGUAGGAUAUGAUGUUGGUUUUAAUUUCUAUAAUAUUAGAAAUGCUGCAACAUUUAUUAAAGGAUCGUACAUUAAUAGUAAAUCCCAAUCAAUUCCCUUUGUGACAAACAGACAGCUUCACAUACUUAUCAAUGAAAAGAAACACACAAAAGCUAAAGAAAUUUCAUCAACUGCCUAUCAAAAUACUCAACCGUAAUACAAAACUGAAGAGUUGAAGAUAACUUCUAAAAAUAGAUAAAUAAAUUUACACUACAGAUGAACUAAGACAAGUUUGUUUCAACUCUUUUCUCUUAUGUUGCACAAUAUAUAAGACAAUCCAAUCUAUGGAAGCAAAGAAGUUCUCACUUAAACCAAGAAACUAUCAAUUUUUCCAACACUAAAAUCAAAAUGCAGCUGUGCCCUUCAAAUAAAUCGAUCCAUACCAAGACUGUAUGAUAUUCUCAUGUUACUAGAGACGAAAGAAAACGGUUUGCAUGUUGUUUCGAAAACUGCAUGCCUAAGCAUAACAACCCGUCUUAGUCAAGAGACUGAAUGAACACAAAAGAAGCGAAACUGACGUAUAAACAUAAAUUCCAUCUUACAAUAGAUAUCCAAAGAAACAAAAAACUAUGACGCUCCAUCCCCAUAACGAAAACAAAAUUGGACUAUUCUCUUUAAAGUGACAUACUCAAAAUCAUAACUAUUGCAUCCAUCAGUCUAGCCCAACCACAAAAUGGCAACAAGCUUAAGAGACAAGAGGGAAAAAAAGGAAAUCCAAAUUUACAUGAGAAAAGACACAGUAAAUAGAGAUAAAGGGGAAGUGGCGGGGCACUAAUAUAAACCUCAUCCUCUUUCUGACAAACUCAAAAUGAAUUUUAAUAGUAAAAACAAUCAUCGAGGAAUCAUGGGAUUUGCUAGUUUUUAUUAGAUGUAUCCUCGUUAUUCUUUGUCAUUUGAGAAGCCAAAGAAUUCAAAAGGAGGUCCUACUAAUGGCGCUACCAUCUCAGCCACAUCAAACUAAUGACGACAAACAAGACAACGUCAAAUACUAACCACGAACAUGACACCAUCAACCCGAACCUAUUAAACAAAAUCAUAGCACAAACCUUUAAACGACGAAACCAGUUUUAACAAGACACCAGUAGCCCAAAAAUAUUAAUCAAAAUCGAAGCAUGCAACUUUAACGAUGAAACCAGCCUUAACAAGAUAUCAGAAACUCAAAACAAAAUCAAAGACAUGAAAAUUUAAACGACGAAACCAGCCUUAACAAGAUACCAGCAACUCGAAACAAAAUUAAAAGAAUGAAACUUUAGCUACCAAACAAGCCUUAAUAAGAUACCAGCAACUUGAAACAAAAUUAAAAGCAUGAAACUUUAGCUACCAAGCCAGCCUUCAAAUCAUAAGUAGUACCUAAGAUGAGAUGUUAAGUCGAAGAUUAACCAACAAUAUCGAGAGUAAAUUACACAAUCAAUGUCGAGACACAGACAACAGAAAUUGCACAUCAGAUAACUCAAAAUAAGAAUUAAUCCAACGCCAUAAUAAUCUAACACUUUCUUCACAACUAUAGAAAAACCUAUGGCCUUUAAGGCCUCUACCAGCAAAUAACCCAGCACACAAGCAGUAUCAAAAACUAUCUACGACUAUAGAAUGGCGAGAUGAAGUAGAAUACGAUCGAAAUUUAAAUGGCGAUAGAAUGUUACCUAUUUAGGAGCAGCAAAAUGGGACUACGAGCUGAAAAUCAACAUUAUCAACUCAGGACCUCCAAUUAAUCGAUGAACUCUCCAAAGAAGAAAGAAAGAGAAAAAUUUAUAUUAAAAGGGACUAUUUUUGCUUUCAGAAUUUUCUUCCUCUUUUUUUUGAAACUUUUCUCUGCUUUAUCUUUUUUUUUUGAAAAAUUUUUCUCUCCUCCUCCCAAAGACCCUUCUUUAGCUCCAUGAAUGAGCUUUUUAUAGCAACAAAAAAGGAGAGUUCUCAAAACCUUUCCUUAAUGUCGAAACACAACCCUUUUGGGGGGUAAUUUUAGAAUUUUCCCUAAGGUAUUCAAAUUUCACAACUUAAGACCAAAUUUUCGCCCAACAAAUUGCACCAAUUGAACUAUUUUUGAACAAAUCAAAAACCAAAUUCAGCCAAUGAGAAUUAAGGGCAAGAAUAAUUCUCCAAGAACCAAUCAAAAUCUAACAAGUAUGUAUGAAUUCGUAUGAAUCAACCAUUGGAGUAGGAAAACUCGACAUAUUCUAGAAGAUUAGGUAUGAAAUUGCAUGUUUGUCACAUAACCCGUACGAUCAAAAGAAAAAGGGAUAAAUUUACAGGGAAAAAGAAAAUUAGGGUCGAUUCUUGGGUUUGAUGUGGAUUCGGGUCGAUGUUAUUAAGUUCGUCGAUGGUUUGUCACUGCUUUGUGAAGAGAAAAUGUUGAAGGUUAAUCAGUUCAGGUGGGUCAAAAUUAUUUGCAGUCGGGUCGCCGAUAUUGAUGGUGUUGGUUGGUCCAUGAAAUUAUUGUUGUGUUCUAUUGUUUGCUUUGAUAUUUGUUAACGAACAAAAAGGGAGUAAAAAUAAUUGGGCUGGGUCACUGAUUGGGGACUUGGGCUGGGGCAGUUUAAUUAUUUUUCUUCAAAUAGAAUGGGCUAGUUUUAAAAAAGGAGACAAAGGGCUGGUGAUAGCAUUUUGUGAAGUGGGCUCGGGUGAAGGGUUAUUGGGCCUAGAAUUGGCAGAUUUUGAUUAUUUUUGGAUUUGGCCAACUUAUUUAAUUUUUGGCCAAAUUGAAAAUCAAUUGGCCAAUUGCAUCGCAAUUGUGGCCAAUUUGAUUUCAAUUAUGGACAAAUCUAAUAAUAGAUUGGCUAAAUUAGAUCAAAAUUUGAAAUAAAUUAAUACUUUAUUUAACCUCGAGCUUCUUUAUUAGAUAAAAUCAAACACAGAUUUAUCCAAAUAAAUUAUUCUCAAGAAUAAAUUGUAUUUAAAUUAAUAUUUUAAUUAUUUAAAAUUAUAUUGAUAUAACCCUUGAUUAGAAUUCGAUAUUUCGUAAAAAGAGAUAUUUAAGUAAUUAUAUUAUAUAAUUUCGUAUAGUUAAAUAUGAUGAUAUAUAAUCUUUACUUAAAUUGGCAAAAUUACCCAUAUAAAAGCUUUUUAUUCAAAUAAAAAAUGUUGUAAUUUUAUUCAAAAUCAAAGAAACUCAGAGUUAAAUUCAGUUAUGGAGGGCAAAAUUAGGUGUCAACAACUGCCCCCUCCCUUUGGGUAGGGUGGAUACAAGUAACCUUGGGUAAAGAGAGGUUGACGAUCCUAAUUUUAUCCAACCAAAAAAUUUGAAUCUGAAAGAGGUUAGCUUUAGCAUGAGUUUCAUGGAUUUAUGGCCGGACCUCAGUAUCAGUUUUCCUACAUAUAUUAGGUUACAUGAGAAUUCAGAGCACUUGUAGUUCAUAAAGCUUGCUUGUAAGCACGAUUUUCAAUAAAAUUCACAAGUUAUCUCGAUUUUAGAGUUUUUGAUGAAACUGAAAAACUGGGGAAUAAAAGGAUUUGGGGGGAGGUUGGAAUGCAGUUGGAUUUUCUACAUAGAUCCCAGCCUAUAUAUUCCUAAGACUCAAGAAAUCAGACUGUUUGUAGUUUGACUCAAUCGGUAGAAAAGAUAGUCUUUUAUUUUAGAUAAUUUUUGGCUCGGGAGGAGUGACAAGUUGAUCGAGUUGUGAAAAAGAGGUUUGUAACCUCUUAACCAUGAAUGUUAAUCUCUUCACAUCCAUAGGUAAGAACUUACCCGGACAUAAUUUCCAAAACUCUAGGUGUGCUAUCACUCGAAUUUGAAAGAAAGACAAAUUUACCCUCAGUAUGAGUUUAGAAAAUCCUGAAGGUGAAGAUGAAACCAAAAUAUCCCAAAAUACCCAUAUACCUGCUAAUAAGGGUAUAGUUAGAUGGUGGUGGCGAUCAUCCUUUAGCUCGCGUCCAAAGAGUUUGACGUCCCUCUCUAGACUAUGUUAUUUGGUAGGUCUAACUUGAACCUUAGAACUUCAAGACUCAAAGUUUGUGUUCUUGGUGUUCUUGGUGUUCUUGGUGUUCUUGGUGUUCUUCACCAUCUCCAUAGUAGUGAAAAUGAUGGUAUAUCUUUCCUUGAAGGCUAUAUCCAUUAUGCUAACCCGUUCUAGUGUGACAACAUUCCUCCUAAAGAUGAAAAUCUCUUCUUGGAAGAUGAUAGUACUCUUAUGGGAAAGGAAUGUGUACUCUCGGAAAUGAGUACUCUUGGUAGUACUCUUGGUGUUCAUGAUGAUCAAUUUACUCUUAAAUGUAGUUCACUACUUGGGCAUGUGAAUAGAGUGCUUAAAAAUUCGCAAGUUAGUGAUAGUGUCUAUAGAAUUGAUCUUGAUAAUUUGCAUGACUCUUUGAACAUCUUGUGUGGUAAAAGUAUUGCGAUUAGUUUUGUUCAUAGAGAUCAUGUGUAUGAAAAUGUUUUUGUGUGUGAAUGUAGGAGUGAUAUUCUAGGGUAAGGAAGGGCUAGCCUCGGCUUAGGCCCUUGGCUAAUUCUUUCAUUUGAUCCCGGUACCAUCUUAGGGUGGGAAAGAAUAACUCUCCGCCUAUUUUCAUUCUGUUUUGGUAUUUAUCCGAGCCACUUCCUUUGUCACAUUUGUACUAAUAUUUUCAUGUUUAAUACAAAGAACCCGUGGAUAUACUUCAAAUUUAUUCCCCCUCGGCAUGGCAUAUUAAUGUGUUUAUUUUUUGCUAACCCUAACCCUCGUGUCAUGAGGAUGUGUGCUUAUUUGUCUUCUCUUGAUUUUGCAAGGUACGGAUUUGAGGUCGAAUCCUUUUCAAGAAGGGGCGGGUGAUACGAGUACGAUCGCGUAGAUGGACUUAUGAGGGCGUAUGUUAGACUCGAGACUUGGUGUGUGCAAAUGAAGUGCAAAGGAGCACCUAAAUGGACACCAAAACCGUCCAUACAUAGCACUCCAAUGGCGCCUAUUGAAGCAUUUGACUAAGGGGUCAUUUUGGACAUUUCACACUUUAUUUUGUAACCUACUAUAAAUAUAAUAAUGUAGGAUUUUAGUCAUUAGUUUUUGUUGAAUAUUGAAGUUGUAACACUUGAAACUCUCUCUCUUGUGAGAAAGGCCCCCAUGGCUGAAACUUGUAACUAGGAAAAUCAACAUUGAGUGUGGAUUCACUCGUGAUAGACUCAAGCUUGGAAACGUUGGAUGCUUGGGAGAUCGAGGUCACUCUUGUGCCAACGUAAGAGUUAGGUAUUUAUUGUGUGUGAUGUUAAAGGUCCAAGAGUGGAAUAGGCUUUUGGGUUUUUAAGAUUAUACUUUCAAUUUGUUUAGCUAUUUAUCCUUUUACCUUUUCGUAAUCUUGUUUAGUGUUUGUGUUGUAAUCUUGUGUUCUUGUUGUUAUUGUUAAAUCCGAUCUUGUGUCUUCUUGUUCAUAAUCUUAUGUUGUUAAUCUAGUUUGUUGUACGUUGAUUUGGUGUAAUAAAAACCUUGUUAUCUUCUUGUUAUGGUGUUCUUGGGAAGCCGAGACUUGUCUCCAAAAGGGUUCACGAAUUUCUUCCAUUUUAUGGACUAUUUUUGGACUGAUUUUGUGUUUCCGUUGUCAUUCCUAUAUCACAAUGAUAUUAAAUGACCCUCUUGGAAAUGGCAUGAAAUGGCCCUCUUGGCAAUGAUAUGAAAUGGCCCUCUUGGCAAAGAUAUGAAAUAACCCUCUUGGUAAUGGCAUGAAAUGGCCCUCUUGGCAAUGAUAUGAAAUGGCAAUCUUGGCAAUGAUAUAAAAUGGCUCUUUUGGCAGUGGCAUAAAAUGGACCUCUUGGCAAUGAUAUGCAAUGAUUCUUCCGGUGAUUUGAAAACAAUUUCACCUGAAUUCGUUUGUCUGCGUCUUACUUUAUACAUGUACCUGUACUCAAGGUAGACAAUUAGUAGACACAGUGUCUCUCUUAAUGGCGACCAUAAUUAAGCUUUAUGAUAGUUUAAUGACAAAUACUGAGCAUCAUAAUUUAAAUGACUUAUUCCUCCAUCAAUCUUCUCUUUUUGAAGAAAUGACUAAAUAAAAAAUCCACCGGAUGCAAGUAAAGGAAGCAAAGUCCUUUUGAUUAUUGUAGUUAUUUUGCCAACUCCCUUGAAUGUACCUGCGCUCAAGGUAAAUAUUUAGUAGACGUAAAGUCGCUUUUACUAAUGAUUAUUUUUUAGAAAAAUUCUAAAUACAUUAUUCAUAAAAAAGAUAAGACGCCUUUGUUUGUCCUUCAUGAUAUCAAGAAAUGAGAUAGAUAAUUCAAAAGGUCCUCAAUAAAUGGGUAUUAAAUCCAUUUUUGGGGCUACUCAAAAAUACCGUUCUUAAGCAUUAUAUGCUCUAGUAUGGCUCCCAACUUGCUUGGGGAUUUUUUUGGAAGAGGGCUCUCAUUUUUUUGUAUUGAUCCCUGCAUCCGAUCCUUGAUUUACUCCUCGCCAUCUUUCGGGUACUCCGUCAUGUUGGGACUUUCACCCGGACUCCCCGUCCCAAUAGAUGCCUAGGUAAUCACUAAGUAAAAAGAUUUGCAUAGAUUUUUGAAAGUAGUCUUAGUUUUAAAAACUAGUUUCAAAACUUCUGUAAAAGAUCUACAAAAUUUGUACCAAUCAUGUCAUGUACUAGCUCAAUGAACGUAUUCCUCUUAUUUUUGACUAUAUCUGACGGAGGAGUUCCAAAACUCAUCAUCAUUGUUGGAGGGUUCUUCAAAUAGUUCUAUCAUAGCCAGAAAUUAAGUCUACCUAGACUUUGUCGCAGCUGGUGGUUUCAAAAGCUUGACUUUGACCUCUGGUGCUGGGGAAUUUGAAAUAUAUUCCAGUGUUUAGUAUAAAUUUUGAGGCCUUUCUCAAAAUUUCUACCCCAUUUUAAUGUUGUUCAAGAUGAUCUCUGCUCGAGAGAAUCCGAAGUCUUUGUUGGUCUUCGUUCUCUUUGUCGGAUCAUAUGAUCUUCCUCUUAUGAAUUUUCAAGAUUCCUUCUCGAAAAUUCUGCCCCAGAUUCCAUUUCCUAGGUUAAUAUAAUUGAUCCAUUGAGGCUCCUAUGUAUCCCGUUGAAGUAGGAAUCAGGUCAAACGUAGUGUAGGACUACGCUAAGGAUAUAUAGAAAAACCUAAUGGGUUGACCGAAGCCAACAUAGGCCGCCUACAUAUUCCUUUUUGGGAAUUCAGGUCAUCAAGUAGUUCAUACAUGAAAGGAAAGAAUAAAUUUUUCUAAGGGAUUGACCGAAGCCAUCAUAGGCCACCUACGUAUCCCUUUCUUGGGUAUUUAGGUCAAACGUAGUUCGUACAUGAAAGAAAAGGAUAAAUUUUCCUAAGAGGUUGACCGAAGCUGACAUAGGCCGCCUACGUAUCCCUUUCUUGGGAAUUCAAGUCAAACGUAGUUCGUACAUGAAAGAAAAGGAUAAAUUUUCCUAAAGGGUUGACCAAAGCCGACAUAGGCCGCCUAUGUAUCCCUUUCUUGGGAAUUCAGGUUAACCGUAGUUCGUAAAUGAAAGAAAAGGGAUUCUAGGCAAUUACAUAUCAUAAAACAAAUACUAUCAUAAAGGCGAUUACAAAUAAGCCAAGGAAACAAAAGCUAAAACAUCUUUCAAACACAGUAUCUUUUUAUCGUAUUAGAAUUGAUUGGUUUGGUCCACUCUUGACCAUCCAUCUCAGGUAGGAUUAGGGCUCCUCCAAGUUGGCCUUCUUUCGAUUUUCAAAUUCCUCUAUAUCUACUACUAACUGCUCCUCGUCACCUUUUUUUCAUUCAUCAUCAUUCCCUUCGCUUUGUUCGUCUAACCCUUUACAAGACAUUAGCGGGUUUUAAAUUAUUGCUACCUAUUGAUCGGGGAGUGAUAAGUGAAUUGGAAGUCCCAUUCAGCAAUGUUUCCUCCAAUUCAUCUUCCUUGAUUCCGAUUGUCUUAGAAAAUUCUUCCAUCAUAUUUUAUUUAUUUCAUCCUCGAGACCAUUGCUUAUGGGUUUGAAAAAUGAUCGGUAGAGUCCAAUUUAACAACUAGUCAUUUUUCUUUUCCUGUAAAAAUAUUAUAGUCAAGAAGGGGAUCUCUUAUUUAUUUUGAUCUGGUGAAGUAGGGCCAUUUUGUGUCAACACGGAGUAGUUUCUAUUACUUUCAAAGUAAAAACAACUCAAAGGCUGACGUAUUAGAUUCUGUUAGUAAUAAGCAAAGCAAGAUGAUAAGGUAGGAAGUAAACAUAUAGAGUUGUUUCUUAUCUCAUGCAAAUUGAUCCAUGAAGUAAUGAUGACUCAAGAAUUUCAAUGAAUAGGAUUUUUGUCAAUGAUAUGGAUAGGCGGAAUUCAUCAGGAAGGCUCAACUCUUAUUCACUCCGAUCUUAUCUCUUCUUUCAAGAAAGCGGAGGACAACAGAGUUUUCGAAGAUAGAAGCCGGGUCGAAAGGCUGCCUACGUUUCUCACAGAGGAGAAAUCAGGCCCUACAUAGUUCAAAACUAUAAAGGCUUCUUUUGUGUCAAUAGUCAGUCUUCCUGAAAUAAUAGUGAGCUUUUAGGAAGUUUUAAGAAUGAUUGCGGACUUUCUGGGAGACUUGGGGUAUAUUUGGUCGGAUUUUUGUAUUGUGGGGUAUAUUUCUGCCUGGAAAAUGGGAUUUGAUCAUUUUGCCUUUGAUUCGAAUCAACGUAGCAUGUAUAAGCACAUAUAAACAGUUAUAUCAUACAAGCAUGUUGUAAUAAACAUGCAUCCUAAUUUGGUGACCCUUUUGAGUCAAGGGUUGUCCUAACAUAUUUGAAGGACGUAUAUGCUUUUUAAAACCAAUCCAUUAUCCUCCCCAAGACCUUCAUAGGUGUACAUAGAUGGCAUAAAUGCCUACAAAAGUUGUACAAAUGGGAUACAAUCUUUAGGGAAAGGAAAAAUAACAUGAGAAAAAGAACAAUAUCCCACGCAGAGGAUAGGAAAUACUAGUUCCUGAAUACUCUUAUAUCAGCCUUCUUAGCUUUGUCCACUUUGGUAACAUCCAUUGAUUAUCAAGAUAUUGCCGUAUAACUGUGAUCUAUAUGCAACCGACCAAAUCGAUCAAUUUCUUGCUAUGCUUGCUUCAAUUCCUUCCUCAAUUGGUGUAUGAUUGAGGCAUCAUUACACGAAAGUAAGCAAGCUUUUUCCCAACCCCUAAAGGAUAAUGGAUUUGAUUAAUUAAACAUAUAUUUCUUCAACACAUAAAUAUGAUUCGUCUAUAAUUGAAUCGGGAUCAAUAGACGCAGGAAAAGUUUUCUAAUGAGCCCAAUACCCCCUCGGGUAUUGGGUCGUCCUAGGUUCAUGCCUAAAAUAGGGUUUUGGUUUAGCUCUAUCCUAGCUGUCUAGAGUGGGUUUGAACCAGGUUCCCAAGUAGACAACUUGGGUUUAAAAAUACGAACAGCCAUCAGACGACUCACAUGCUAAUAAACCAUCGUGUUUCCAACACAUUAUUUGGAAUUGAACAAUAGAGGCCGGGAUAUCCACGAAAUGCCAAAACAGUUUAUAAGUAAAUGUAAGAAUAUGCUAUGAGAUGCAAUAAUUAAAUACCGCAAAAUCAAAACAUAUAAACACGUAACCAGUAAAUCAAAAGACGAAAUCAAACAUUUGGUUAGAACCUAAUUAAAUCCCCAGAAGAGUCGUCAUUUCCGUUUUGCGAAAAUUUUGACUUUCAGAGAGUCGCCACUUAAUUUUGAAAAGAAAUUAAGAAAGCUUUAUAAAAUAUUUUAAACUAUCCAAAACUGAAAGAUCAAUUAAGUUUUGAAGAUUCUGAGUAAGUGGCUCCUAUUAACGUUUUAGGAAGGUUUUAAGCACCUAAAACGUCCGCUAACUUGCGGUUAUUCAGACUGUUUGAAAACAUCUUUUGAUUAACUUCUAAAAUGAUUAAUUUGUUGAAAAGUGAUUGAUUUUUUUUUAGAAAAGACUUGUGUAAAAUGGAUUUAGGCGACUUAGUAGGGAUUUUAACUAAGUCUAAACAAAACUAAUAAGCAAGUAAACACAUAAAGGGGGGAAAGAGGCAAAAGUAAAGGAUUUAGGCCAUUGGGCCCAAAUCAAUGAGACCUGUCCUAAUCUAAUUGGGCUUCCAACCCAUUUCACCUAUCCUAAUCUAAUUUUGAAGCCUUUUGGCCCAAAAUUCGCCUCACCUGUAUUAAAUUUAUAACAUUGGCUUCGAGGCCCAAAUGAAUGAAUGAAUAAAUAAAUAAACAAAAUAAAUAAAGACAACAAUACUCAAAUAAAUAAAACAACAAAUGAGACUUUUGAGUCUCUUAGCCGAUUCAAAUGUGAGUCUUUAACCCGCCUUUCUUCUUCCAACUCUUCGUGUUUAUACGCCAUGGGAUCACUUUUAGACAUAGAACUUCGGGCUUGACUCAAUGAGAGCCCAUUAAGGAAUGCAAGGGAAAAGGGUUCAUUUGGACUCCAGGGCGGAUUCAUGCGAAGGAAUGAAAAAUAUAUGAAUUAAUAUAUGUUCAUGGAAACAAACUAUUCUGGCAACAAAGGAAAUUACGAAAGUUCAAAGCUUUAAAAAUUCACAACCCCAAACCCAAGCACAAAAAUAAAACUUAGGUGCAUGCUCACUGAACAAAUAAUUGUAUCUACUAAUUUUGAAUUUUUAACAUAAAGAUCGAAGAGAGCACGACAUAUUACACCCUAGUAACUUCACAUGGAAGCAUGAAUAUGCAUGAAAGGAUUCCAGUAAAAAAGGGGGCACUCUUCCUAACCUAAUGUGAUAAUUAUUUAAAUGAGAGUAGGAUAUGAUGUUGGUUUUAAUUGCUAUAAUAUUAGAAAUGCUGCAACAUUUAUUAAAGGAUCGUACACUAAUAGUAAAUCCCAAUCAAUUCCCUUUGUGACAAAUCGACACCUUCACAUACUUAUCAAUGAAAAGAAACACACAGAAGCGAAAGAAAUUUCAUCAACUACCUAUCAAAAUACUCAACCGUAAUACAAAACUAAAGAGCUGAAGAUAACUUCUAAAAAUAGAUAAAUAAAUUUACACUACAUAUGAACUAAGACAAGUUUGUUUCAACUCUUUUCUCUUAUGUUGCACAAUAUACAAGACAAUCCAAUCAAUGAAAGCAAAGAAGUUCUCACUUAAACCAAGAAACUAUCAAUUUUCCAACACUAAAAUCAAAAUGCAGUCGUGCACUUCAAAGAAACCGAUCCAUACCAAGACUAUAUGAAAUUCUCAUGUUACUAGAAACGAAAGAAAACGGUUUGCAAGUUGUUUCGAGAACUGCAUGCCUAAACAUAACAACCCGUCCUAGUCAAGAGACUGAAUGAACACAAAAGAAGCGAAACUGACGUAUAAACACAAACUCCAUCCGACAGUAGAUAUCCAAAGAAACAAAAAACUAUGACGCUCCAUCCCCAUAACGAAAACAAAAUUGAACUAUUCUCUUUAAAGGGACAUACUCAAAAUCACAACUAUUGCAUCCAUCACCCUAAACCAAUCACAUACUGGCAACAAGCUCAAGAGACAAGAGGGGAAAAGGAAAUCCAAAUUUACACGAGAAAAGACACAGUAAAUAGAGCUAAAGGGGAAGUGGUGGGGCACUAAUAUCAACCUCAUCCUCUUUCUGACAAACUCAAAAUGAGUUUUAAUAGUCAAAACGAUCAUCAAGGAAUCAUGGGAUUUGCUAUUUUUUAUUAGACGUAUCUUCGUUAUUCUUUGUCAUUUGAGAAGCCAAAGAAUUCAAGAGGAGGUCCUAUUAAUGGCGCUACCAGCUCAACCACAUCAAACUAAUGACGACAAACAAGACAAUGUCAAAUACUAACCAUGAACAUGACACCAUCAACCCAAACCUAUUAAACAAAAUCACAGCAUGAAGCUUUAAAUGACAAAACCAGUUUUAACAAGACACCAGUAGCCCAAAACUAUUAAUCAAAAUCAAAGCAUACAACUUUAACGACGAAACCAGCCUUAAAAAGAUACCAGCAACUCGAAAUAAAAUUAAAAGCAUGAAACUUUAGCUACCAAACCAGCCUUAACAAGAUAGCAGCAACUCGAAAUAGAAUUAAAAGCAUGAAACUUUAGCUACCAAAACCAGCCUUCAAAUCACAAGUAGUACCCAAGAUGAGAUGUUAAGUCGAAGAUUAACCAACAAUAUCAAGAGUAAAUGACAAAAUCAAUGUCGAGGCAUAGACAACCGAAAUCGCACAUUAGACAACUCAAAACAAGAAUUAAUCCAAUGCAACAAUAACCCAACACUUGCUUCACAACUACAGAAAAACCUAUGGCCUUUAAGGCCUCUACCAGCAAACAACCCAGCACACAAGCAGUGUUGAAAAUCAUCUAUGACUAUAGAAUGGUGAGAUGAAGCAGAAAACGAUCGACAUUUAAAUAGCGACGGAAUAUUACCUAUUCGGGAAUAGCAAAACGGGACUACGAGCUGACGUCGAGAUGUGCCACCACCGAAAAUCAAUGUUAUCAACUCAGGACCUCUAAUUAAUCGAUCAACUCUCAAAAGAAGAAAGAAAGAGAAAAUAUUUUACUAAAAGGGACUGUUUUUGCUCUCAGAAUUUUCUUCCUCUUUUUUUUCGAAACUUUUCUCUGUUUUUGCUUUUUUUUUUUUGAAAAAAUUUUCUCUCCUCCUCCCGAAGGCCCUUCUUCAUCUCCAUGAAUAAGCUUUUUAUAGCAACAAAAAAGGAGAGUUCUCAAAACCUUUCCUCGAUGUCGGAACACAACCCUUUUUGGGGGUAAUUUCGGAAUUUUCCCUAGGGUAUUCAAAUUUCACAACUCAAGACCAAAUUUUCCCCCAACAAAUUGCACCAAUUGAACUAUUUUUGAACAAAUCAAAAACCAAAUUCAGCCAAUGAGAAUUAAGGACAAGAAUAAUUCUCCAAGAACCAAUCAAAAUCUAACUAGUAUGUACAAAUUCGUAUGAAUCAACCGUUGAAGGAGGACAACUCGUCAUAUUCUAGAAGAUUAGGUAUGAAAACGUAUAUUUGUCACAUGACCCAUACGAUCAAAAGCAAAAGGGAUAAAUUUAGCGGGAAAAAGAAAACAGGGGUCGGUUCUCGGGUUUGACGCGAAUUCGGGUUGAAGCUAUUGAGUUCGUCGAUGGUUUGUCACUGUUUUGUGAAGAGAAAAUGCUAAAGGGUAAUCUGGUCAGGCAGGUCAAAAUUGUUUACAGUCGGGUCACCGAUAUUGAUAAUGUUGGUUGGUCGAUGAAAUUAUUGUUGUGUUCUAUUGUUUGCUGCUGUUAUUUGUUAACAGACAAAAGGGGAGUAAAAAUAAUUGGGUCGAGUCGCUGAUUGGGGACUUGGGCUGGGGUGGUUUAAUUGUUUUUCUUUAAAUGGAAUGGGUUGGUUUUAAAAAAGGGACAAAGGGCUAGUGAUAGCAUUUUGUGAAGUGGACUCGGCUGAAGGGUUAUUGGGCCUGGAAUUGGUAGAUUUUGAUUAUUUUUGGAUUUGGCCAAUUA
rnacentral:lncRNA from 1 species